AAAAUGGUACCGUUAAAAAAAUAGAGAAAUUAGAUUUUCUUGCGUUUAGAUCUGCGAAAAGAACUUUACUUAUCAGCUAUUCGUCUUCUUUGAAAAACGAUUGAAUUACACAAAAUCGCUUCACGAUUUCGUCUCUCUUCUUCUAAUUCUUGUUAAGAUAGAUAAGAGAUUUGAUUUGGCUACUUGUUGAAACCAAUCGUGGUCUGUGGGAGAUUUAAUGAAGGUUGGCAACUCGAUCUAUAUACCCAGGAAAUAGAGAAGAUCUUCGUGAUUCUAUACUUAUCAUCAUCACGGGUUAUAAUUCAAGCAAACUUCUCAAUUGUGUUAUUAAAACAACCGAGAUAAAGUCUAUAGCUGCAAUAUUGAAGAGGAAAGCAAUGCAAUGCCAGCAAGGACAUGUCCUUCAAAGAUCAGCUAUAUGGUGCUGCAAUAUUGAAGAGGAAAGCAAUGCAAUGCCAGCAAGCAUACAUAAUAGCAAAAGAUCAGCUUAAUGGUGCUAAUUAUGCAAUGGUCAACUGGGAUUUUUGUGCUGGUACUAUGUUAAACUCCGAAGAAACCAGUUUAAUGCUCAAAGACAUGCCAAAACUUUCUUCCAUUAGUUAUGCGACUUAACCGAAGCAAAUUUUCUCUAUCAGGGAAUUAGUACAUAGGACUACAUAGUUGCACUCAGAGAUCAAGAGCAAGAACUAAAAGCUGGAGGUGGUCAAGAGGUUCAUCCUUGGGCUGCGGUUGUGAACUCGUCUGCUGCUGUCGUUAUGAAUGUGGUUGCUGCUAUUGUGACUGUUGUUGCUGCGUUUGUGACUGUGUUGUUGCUGCUGCUGCGGUGGAGGCAGCAAUUGGCGAGGAGGUUCAACAGCCAACGAUGAACCUGAAAAAUCAAAAAUGAUUUGUGACUAUUGUUGCUGCGGUGGAGGCUGCCUUUUCCAGUUAAAGAACAGAGGAGACUCUUGAUCCGGUUAAUGAAUAUAUAUGUGUUGUUACGUUCUUAAGAAGAUGCAAAUGUUGUUAUAUUUUAAAAAAACAAAAUAUAUAUUUGAGAUGUAAAAUAUGUUAAAAUCACCUAAAGUUUUACAAUCAAAUC